AGCCCGGUGGUGUAGAGGCCAAUCAUCUCGGACUCUGAAUCCGGGGACGGCGGUUCGAAUCCGCUCCGGGCUG
rnacentral:tRNA from 1 species